GCGGCCUUCUGGACAGUACUGACGCUGAGAUGCGAAGCGUGGGGAGCAAACAGGAUUAGAUACCUGUAGUCACGCUGUAAACGAUGUCGAUUGGAGUUUGGGGGCAUGUCCUUGGGCUCUGGAGCUAACGCGUUAAAUCGACCGCUGGGGAGUACGGCCGCAAGGUUAAAACUCAAAUGAAUUGACGGGGGCCCGCACAAGCGGUGGAGCAUGUGGUUUAAUUCGAUGCAACGCGAAGAACCUUACCUGGUCUUGACAUCCAUAGAAUCUUUCAGAGAUGAGAGAGUGCCUUCGGGAGCUAUGAGACAGGUGCUGCAUGGCUGUCGUCAGCUCGUGUUGUGAAAUGUUGGGUUAAGUCCCGCAACGAGCGCAACCCUUAUCCUUUGUUGCCAGCGGUUCGGCCGGGAACUCAAAGGAGACUGCCGUUGAUAAAGCGGAGGAAGGUGGGGACGACGUCAAGUCAUCAUGGCCCUUACGACCAGGGCUACACACGUGCUACAAUGGCGUAUACAAAGGGAAGCGAAGGAGCGAUCUGGAGCGGACCUCCUAAAGUACGUCUAAGUCCGGAUUGGAGUCUGCAACUCGACUCCAUGAAGUCGGAAUCGCUAGUAAUCGUGAAUCAGAAUGUCACGGUGAAUACGUUCCCGGGCCUUGUACACACCGCCCGUCACACCAUGGGAGUGGGUUGCACCAGAAGUAGAUAGCUUAACCGAAAGGGGGGCGUUUACCACGGUGUGAUUCAUGACUGGGGUGAAGUCGUAACAAGGUAACCAAGGGCGAAUUCUG
rnacentral:rRNA from 1 species